AUACGAAGGGGGCUAGCGUUGUUCGGAAUUACUGGGCGUAAAGCGCGCGUAGGCGGAUUGGUCAGUUAGGGGUGAAAUCCCAGGGCUUAACCCUGGAACUGCCUCUAAUACUGCCAGUCUUGAGUUCGGGAGAGGUGAGUGGAAUUCCUAGUGUAGAGGUGAAAUUCAUAGAUAUUAGGAAGAACACUAGUGGCGAAGGCGGCUCACUGGCCCGAUACUGACGCUGAGGCGCGAAAGCGUGGGGAGCAAACAGGAUUAGAAACCCCAGUAGUCC
rnacentral:rRNA from 1 species